AAGAAGGGGGGGAAUCUUCGGACCUCUCGCUAAUAGAUGAGCCUAGGCCGGAUUAGCUAGUUGGUAGGGUAAAGGCCUACCAAGGCGACGAUCUGUAGCUGGUCUGAGAGGAUGGCCAGCCACACUGGAACUGAGACACGGUCCAGACUCCUACGGGAGGCAGCAGUGGGGAAUAUUGGACAAUGGGGGCAACCCUGAUCCAGCCAUGCCGCGUGUGUGAAGAAGGCCUCGGGUUGUAAAGCACUUUAAGCGAGGAGGAAGGUUUUAGUUUAAUACACUAAAGAAUUGACGUUACUCGCAGAAUAAGCACCGGCUAACUCUGUG
rnacentral:rRNA from 1 species